UAGGGAAUAUUGGUCAAUGGGUGAUAGCCUGAACCAGCCAUGCCGCGUGCAGGAAGACGGCCUUAUGGGUUGUAAACUGCUUUUUACCGGGAAGAAAGAGGUCCUGCGGGGCAAGUUGCCUGUACCGGUAGAAUAAGCACCGGCUAACUCCGUGCCAGCAGCCGCGGUAAUACGGAGGGUGCAAGCGUUGUCCGGAUUUAUUGGGUUUAAAGGGUACGUAGGCGGGCAUGUAAGUCAGUGGUUAAAAUUACCGGCUCAACCGGUAGGCUGCCAUUGAAACUGCGUGUCUUGAGUACGGUAGAGGUAGGCGGAAUUUAUGGUGUAGCGGUGAAAUGCAUAGAUACCAUAAAGAACACCGAUAGGUAAGCCAGCUUACUGGACCGUAACUGACGCUGAGGUACGAAAGCAUGGGGAGCAAACA
rnacentral:rRNA from 1 species